rnacentral:lncRNA from 1 species
GCAACCCUGAAAUACUGUGCUUGAUCACUUUCUAUAAUCCGCUGUAACGUGCUCCUAAACAUACAGACCUCUUAGUGUAUUUAAAAUGAUUCAGUUUACUAAAGCAUAAUAAAAAACUUCUUGAGAAUCCACAGUUAAGAUGGCAGGUGUCCUCAUCUGUAUGUGCUGCACCAACAACAUUCUUGGAAGGGAGCGGUCCUACCAAACGACGACAGUCCUGAAAUAGAUGUGGAAUCCACUGAUGCAGCACACAGGGGAAUGCCACCGGAAGCUCUGAUCAAAGGGGACUGUGAGCUCCAGAAUUCCUGAUUGCGUUCAUCACAGAUGCCAAGUCUGUCAAAUUCUAAAGCAGGAAGUCAAUGGAUCAACCAGAAGGUGGCCCAGAAGAAAGCCUUCACCAGAACGUGAGCAUGCUGGCACCCUGAUCUCAGACCUCCAGUCUCGAGAACAACAUGCAGCAGAUCCUGAUGGAGCAACCUCAAGUGCCGGCCAAGCCCCUCCUGCUCCUCCUCUGCAUUAGGAAUUCUGCAAAUGAGUGAUGGUUCACAGGGGGCUCGAUCACAGAAAAGCAGUUGUUGAUCUUUGGCUGCCUGCAGGCCUGCAAUCUGUGCUACAAGUUUAUCCCUCCCAGAAAAAGCAAAAUAAAGAAGGACGAGACAAGAGGAUGGAACCAAUACAAGCAUCUGUAACAAGCUAAUUGGACCCUUGUGGGCCACCAGCAAGCACGAAACUAAAACAAACAGAGCCUCACAUUGUGCACCUUCAGGACCAGAUCCAUCCUGGGUCUGUCAGCUUUUCCCCUGCCUCCUCCCCUGACCCCCAUUUUUAAAGGACCUAAUUAUGGCUCUUUCCAAAGGAUCACAAGCCAGUUUUCAUCUAAAAAGAAUAAGGUAUUAUGCCUCCGAACUGGAGACACUGUUAGAAGUUGGUAAUUAGUAUGACUUGUUAAUAGAGUUUGGCUGUGAUUAAGCAGUGAUUGAGCGCGAGUUUGGUGCCUGUCAGUGGGGAAGCCUGAGGAGGGUGAGAGAUGUUUAAUGAGACACCUGUUGUUGGGGGUCCACUGGGGUUUGUUGCAGCUGAUUGGCACUUGGAUGCAGUGCGCUCGGUGCUGGGGGCUGGGCUGAGCCUGGCAGGUGGUUGGCACCAGAGCGGAGCUCGCCGCUCCCAGCAAGUCAGGGCUGGCUGAGUUUUCCGAGCUGUCUGUCCACGGCUGCAGCCACAUGUUCCCACAUGAUCUAGGUGGUGGGCUGACUGACUGUGCGCCAACCCCCAGCGGGCACUGCCCCUACUCUGCAAGAGGAAGAUCUCCAGGUCCCCCGUGACCCUCGCUCCCAACCAAGCACCGGGCGGGGCAUUGGGCACUCCUCCUCUCAUCCAGCCUCUCCUGUCCCCAGUGUAUAGCUGGGGAAACUGAGGCAAGGGAGGUUAAAUAGUUUGCCUAAGCUCACAGCCACCUCCAGGGCCCGAUGCACUGUAUGCAGAGCCAGCACCUCUCAAACCUUAAAAUGAUCCCUGGGGAGUGUGUUAAAACGCAGAGUCUGAGAGAGUAGGUCUUGGGUGGGGCUGGAGAGACCACCUUCCUAAGAGCUUCCCGGCAGUGCCCAUACUUUGAAUGAAGUCGGCAGGGUACUUCCUUGUACUAGAGUCACACAGAACCCCCUAAGAGAGAGAUGCUUAUCGUGCAUUUCAAUUUUAUGACUAGACCACAUCUUGCCUUUUGGAAGGGACAUACAUAGUAGUAAUAUACCUCAUCUUUGCCCAGAAACAGAGCCUGAUGCUAGAGAUGUUGGGGAACUCUCUAUCUAAGGGUGUAGUGUGUGGUGGAUGGGGCAAGUGG